GCAGUUCACAUCUGUAUUAUCAGACAACUCCUGCAUAAAUAAACCAAGUCGAGCGCUGGGACAGGAGCCGGAGCAAUCCACCCACUCUGUCCACACGCUUGCUCCCCCACCAUCACGCAUCUUCCAUCCACCAGGCCGCCGGCAAUCGGCACCUAUCGGCGGCGAUGGCGCACGGCCAUGGUCACCCCGGGGGCCAUCCCGGCCACGGUGGCCACCACCAGCCACUCCCCCACCAUCACGAGCACCACCACCAGCCAGUGCACCAUCCCCACGGUCACGCCGUGCCGGUGAUCAUCCCGGUCACGCACUCGUACCUGCCGGCGACGGUCGGGACGCCGCUGCUCGUAGACAGGCGGCCGCUGCCGCCUGGCGGCCUCCUCGUGUGUGUAGGCUUGUUCGUCCUGAUCGUGGUUUUGCUCGUCCUUUGGAGGCUCUAGUACGCGCCUCUAUGCGGGCGGGAGAUCCAGCCGUGCAUCCAGUGGAGGCUUCGUGUGUCCUAGCAAAAUUAAGUACUUCCUCCAUUUUCAAUUAGGUUACUCGGAUUUAUCUAAAUUCAUAUGUAUCUAUACACUAAAACAAGUUUAGAUAUGUGUGAAUCUAGAUGAAUCAAAAUCACUUAUAUUGGGAUGGAGGAAGCAGAGUACAGUGCUUUUUAAGUGUUUUUGUAUGCUUAAGUAUAGUAAACUUGGUGGAUAUGUAUGUGAACUUUUGUUCGAUUUAAUAAUUAUCGCGUAAUUUUAAUAUAAUUACCAUUCAGUUGC